GACCAUGAAUUUAGACUGCUAAAUGUUUUCAGAUUAAGAUACAAUAUAUAUGAUUUGACAAGUCAGAAUGUAUACUUGGUUACACUAGAGAUAUCUGUUUGCUGGGAAAGUAACAAACCAUGUGUAUGGUCUACCUAUAUACUGCAAAGUACACGACUUCCAAAGCAACAACGAAAUCUACAGAAUGAUUUCCGGAUUACUAAUUUUGACCUGUCAGACUGGGCUACAGAGAGAAGUAUUAAUUCUACACAACUGAGUAAUCUUGAUCUGUUGAGACUAUACAAUGAUUUGGACAUUGGAUGGUAUCUAACAAAUAUUUGUGAAAACAACACAACUCAGACAGAGAGCUGGAUGUCUGAAUGUAUGGAAUCUAUAGAAUUACCAGAACUUCCACCCACAACAAAAUGUCAUCUGUAUGAGUCGUGUACCAACAACAGUUGCUGUGUAGAGGUUCCUGUCCUGCAAAGGUCUUUCAACAUAUUCUUAUAUCUGGAUACCUGUAACCUGAAGUUGUUUGUUGGGAUAGAAAAACUGCAGUAUGUUCAGAUGUUGUUUAACUACCAAUGGGGAGCAAACAGUUCCUUUUGGUUAAAUGGAAUCCUUAGACUGAACUAUCAGGUACAUAAUUUACGCUAUGCUAAGAAGUAUAGAUUAUCAGUGUCACUUGAAGUAUGCAUGUCAUCAAGGGAACCAUGUUUACACCAUAUAACAAUACUUGACAAUGUUGACAUGCCCAAAGAAGAAUGUGAUUGGAGACAGAACUACACAA